GUGCCAGCAGCCGCGGUAAUACGUAGGGGGCGAGCGUUGUCCGGAAUUACUGGGCGUAAAGGGUGCGUAGGCGGCCAUUUAAGUCUUGUGUGAAAGGCCCCGGCUUAACCGGGGAGCUGCAUGGGAAACUGGAUGGCUUGAGUGCUGGAGAGGGUUGCGGAAUUCCCAGUGUAGCGGUGAAAUGCGUAGAUAUUGGGAGGAACACCAGUGGCGAAGGCGGCAACCUGGACAGUAACUGACGCUGAGGCACG
rnacentral:rRNA from 1 species